AUGAGCAAACCUGAAAGUGUUCAAGAAUCCCUUGAUACAAUCACAUUUAUUCACUCUUUUCAAAUUACGACCACCAAGGUUGAGCAUAUGAAGCCGAAACGUUUUACCACGGUCCAUCAGUACUCGCUGAUUAAUUGACAUCCUGCCACCUGUAAAAUUCACCUAUGAGCCUGACAUCACGGACCGUGACGAUUUCGACUGCAUUACACCGGAACGUGGCGUGAUUCGAGACUUUUUGUGCGAGGUGAUCGGAAAUCGGCAAUUCAAGAAAUACAAAUUGGAAAUUCUCACUGUUAUCGUAUUUGAUAUCAACAACUUUUUGAGCCUGAAAUACUUCAAUCGAUUUGUUGGAAAACCGAUGCCAGUCGAAUUGGAUUUCAAAUAUUAUCUGUUGAUGAAUCAAAAGACUCACAACUUCCUUCUCACCACCACUACUCAACAAGGAUUCCCGUGCAAUAAAGAAGCUCUAUACGUGGCUUCUCCAUAUUUUCGCAACCAUCUCACAAGUUCCAUAACCAGUUUUCCACUGGAGGUACAAUUCUUGGAAGCUAUUGAAGUGGUUGUUACCUGGAAGAUUGUGACACGUAAACACAAACAGAGACAGCUCAUCGGGUCGAUUGAAAGUCACUGCUUUGAGGAGCUGAUUAAGAACUGUGAGGACUUGGAUUAUGUGGAGAAGUUGCUCUUUAUGGCUCACACUAAUUAUCUCGGACGUCUUCUCGAAGCCUGCAACGCCACUAUUAUCAGUUUUCAUUUUGCGGAUCUUUGCAGGGACAUCCAACAAAAUAAACGCCUUAAUGAUCGUUACGUGAAGAGUCUCAACGUGAGAAGUUUCAUGAGAAAAGUGCCGCCGGUGGUUAUUGCCAAUCAAGGAUAA
rnacentral:misc_RNA from 1 species